rnacentral:rRNA from 1 species
AUGAACGCUAGCGGCAGGCUUAACACAUGCAAGUCGAGGGGGUAGAAGGGUAGCUUGCUCCUUUGAGACCGGCGCACGGGUGCGUAACGCGUAUGCAAUCUACCUUUUGCAGAGGGAUAGCCCAGAGAAAUUUGGAUUAAUACCUCAUAGUAUGUGAGAAUGGCAUCAUUUCACAUUAAAGUCACAACGGCAAAAGAUGAGCAUGCGUCCCAUUAGCUUGUUGGUAAGGUAACGGCUUACCAAGGCAACGAUGGGUAGGGGUCCUGAGAGGGAGAUCCCCCACACUGGUACUGAGACACGGACCAGACUCCUACGGGAGGCAGCAGUGAGGAAUAUUGGACAAUGGGCGCAAGCCUGAUCCAGCCAUGCCGCGUGCAGGAUGACGGUCCUAUGGAUUGUAAACUGCUUUUGUACAGGAAGAAACACUGGUUCGUGAACCAGCUUGACGGUACUGUAAGAAUAAGGAUCGGCUAACUCCGUG